rnacentral:rRNA from 1 species
AUGAUCAUGGCUGCUCUCUUCGUGCUCGGGUGCUUCCUGCUGCAGACCGUCCCGGCAGCACGGGCUCACGACGAGGCGCUCGCGUGGACGCCGGCCUCCCCCUUCCGCGACGAGCUCCGCGCCCUCGGCGUCGGAGCGCUCAUCCGCGACGACGCCGAGGCCACCGCGCUCGCGUCCACUGACUUCGGCAACGUGACGGUCGCGCCGGCGGCGGCCGUGCUCUAUCCAUCGUGCCCCGCCGACAUCGCCGCGCUGCUGCGCGCCUCGUGCGCGCGCUCGUCCCCGUUCCCGGUGUCCGCCCGGGGACGCGGCCACUCCGUCCGUGGCCAGGCGGCCGCGCUCGACGGCGUUGUCGUCGACAUGCCGUCGCUCGGACGCCUCGGCGGAGGCUCCAGCUCCACUGCGUCCCGCCUCUCCGUGUCGGUCGAAGGCCAGUACAUAGACGCCGGCGGCGAACAGCUGUGGGUGGACGUGCUGCGCGCCGCCCUGGCGCACGGCCUGACGCCGCGUUCGUGGACCGACUACCUCCACCUCACCGUCGGCGGGACGCUCUCCAACGCCGGCAUCAGCGGCCAGGCCUUCCGCUACGGCCCCCAGAUUUCUAACGUCCAAGAACUGGACGUCAUCACCGGGCUCGGAGAGAUGGUGACGUGUUCGAAGAAGAAGGACGCCGACCUGUUCGACGCCGUGCUGGGCGGGCUGGGGCAGUUCGGCGUCAUAACGCGGGCGCGCAUACCGCUGGUGCCAGCGCCGACGAGGGCGCGCUGGGUGCGGCUCCUCUACACGGGCGCCGCCGCACUCACCGGCGACCAGGAGCGGCUCAUAGACGUCGAGCGUGGCGACGCGCUGUCCGGGCUCAUGGACUACGUCGAGGGCACGGUCGUCGCGGACGAGGGCCUGAUCGGGAGCUGGCGCUCGCAGUCGCCGUCAUCGUCGUCUUCGUCCUUCUUCUCGGGCCCCGAUGCCGCGGCACGAUUCGCCAAGCUCGCCGAGGAGGCAGGUGGCGUCCUCUACUGUCUUGAGGGAGCGCUGUACUACGGCGGCGCAGCCGGCGGCGAGCGCGACGUCGAUAAGAGGCUGGAGACGCUGCUGCGCGAGCUGCGGUACGCGCGGGGCUUCGCGUCCGUGCAGGACGUGUCGUACGUGGAGUUCCUGGACCGCGUGCACGGCGGCGAGCUCAAGCUCCGUGCCGCCGGUCAGUGGGACGUGCCGCACCCCUGGCUCAACCUCUUCCUCCCGCGCUCCCGCGUCCUCGACUUCGCCGCCGGCGUCUUCCACGGCAUCCUCCGCCGCGGUACCACCGGCGCCAUGGGGCCCGUCCUCGUCUACCCCAUGAACCGGAACAGGUGGGACAGCGGCAUGUCGGCGGUGUUCCCAGAGGAGGAGGAGGUGUUCUACACAGUUGGGAUCCUCCGGUUGGCCGUGUCCGAGGGCGACCUCGGGCGGCUGGAGGAGCAGAACGACGAGAUCUUACGGUUCUGCGAGGAGGCCGGGAUAGCGUGCGUGCAGUACCUGUCGUACUACGCCGACCAGGCCGGGUGGGAGAAGAAGCACUUUGGUCCAGCCAAGUGGGCCAGGUUCGUGGAGCGGAAGAGGGAGUAUGACCCCAAGGCGAUCCUGUCCCGUGGUCAGAGAAUUUUCACGUCCCCGCUGGCUUGA